rnacentral:rRNA from 1 species
AUUAGAUACCCUGGUAGUCCACGCAGUAAACGAUGAGCACUAAUUGUCCGGAGCGAGUGAGCUCUGGGUGAUACAGCGAAAGCGUUAAGUGCUCCACCUGCGGAGUACGCCGGCAACGGUGAAACUCAAAGGAAUUGACGGGGGCCCGCACAAGCCGAGGAACAUGUGGUUUAAUUCGAUGAUACGCGAGGAACCUUACCCGGGCUCAAACGACGGACGAAUGUUUUUGAAAGGAGGCAGCCCUUCGGGGCGUCCGUCGAGGUGCUGCAUGGUUGUCGUCAGCUCGUGCCGU